rnacentral:rRNA from 1 species
UACGUAGGGUGCGAGCGUUAAUCGGAAUUACUGGGCGUAAAGCGUGCGCAGGCGGUGAGCUGUGUCCGCUGUGAAAGCCCCGGGCUUAACCUGGGAAUGGCAUUGGAAACUGGCUCGCUGGAGUGUGGCAGAGGGGGGUGGAAUUCCGCGUGUAGCAGUGAAAUGCGUAGAGAUGCGGAGGAACACCGAUGGCGAAGGCAGCCCCCUGGGCUAACACUGACGCUCAGGCACGAAAGCGUGGGGAGCAAACAGG